CCUACGAGAGGCAGCAGUGGGGGAUAUUGCACAAUGGGGGAAACCCUGAUGCAGCGACGCCGCGUGGGCGAAGAAGUAUUUCGGUAUGUAAAGCCCUAUCAGCAGGGAAGAAGAACUGACGGUACCUGAGUAAGAAGCACCGGCUAAUACGUGCCAGCAACCCCGGUAAUACGUAUGGUUCAAGCGUUAUCCGGAGUUACUGGGUGGAAAGGGAGCGCAGGCGGCCUGGCAAGCCUUAUGUGAAAGGCCGCGGCCCAACCGAGGGACUGAAUUGGGAACCACCGGGCUGGAGUGCCGGAGAGGUAGGCGGAAUUGCUAGUGUAGCGGUGAAAUGCGUAGAUAUUAGGAGGAACACCAGUGGCGAAGGCGGCCUACUGGACGGUGACUGACGCUGAGGCUCGAAAGCGUGGGGAGCAAACAGGAUUAGAUACCCGGGUAGUC
rnacentral:rRNA from 1 species